UGGAUCGAUGAUGACUACUGGUGGCGUAUGAGUCGUGCAUGAUGAAUACUUGUCUGUAACUCUGAGGUCCAA